rnacentral:tRNA from 1 species
CCUUUGGAUCUUAUUCCAACCCAAGUGUUUUGGAUAGCUACGAUAC